rnacentral:tRNA from 1 species
GCGGGUAUGGUGAAAUUGGUAAACACGCCAGAUUUAGGCUCUGGAGGUUUUUCCUUGCAGGUUCAAGUCCUGCUACCCGUA